rnacentral:rRNA from 1 species
GGACCAAGAAGUCUAACGUGUGCGCGAGUCAUUGGGUGAAAAACCUAAAGGCGCAAUGAAAGUAAAGGAAACUUUCUUUCUGAGGGAAGAUGGGAGCGGAGGGCGCCCGUCCCUCCCUCUCCGCACUCCCGGGGCGUCUCUUUCUCAUUGCGAGUGGAGGCGCACCUAGAGCGCACACGUUGGGACCCGAAAGAUGGUGAACUAUGCCUGGCCAGGACGAAGCCAGGGGAAACCCUGGUGGAGGUCCGCAGCGAUUCUGACGUGCAAAUCGAUCGUCAGAGCUGGGUAUAGGGGCGAAAGACUAAUCGAACCAUCUAGUAGCUGGUUCCUUC